GGCAGAUGGAGACACUUUCAAAUGUACUUAAGGGGACAGGGUGCCCUGAGUGAGCCGUUGCUUCUGCCUCAUGGGAGAAGAGAGAAGAACUGCUGCUGGCUUCUGCUUUUGAUUCUUUGGAGAACUGCUGAGCUGACUGCUGCUGCUGAAGCUUGGAGAUUCCUUCUGGGAGAAGAUUCUUCAUCUUCUUCUCCCAGGGCCCCCCACCCCAGCUCAAAUCACUAAGCCCCCAUCACCUGCCUGCCUGGUCUGUGCUGGAGAGAGGUAUCCUGUGGCUAGCCCAGGCCGUCUCUCCCCAUCCCAUCCCCCCCCUUUUGGUUGACUUUUAUUGGGGGGGGGUUGGGUGCUCACCCCAUGGUGCCCAGUGGCCCUCUCCCUGGCUGUUGAGUGGUGCCCACCCAGGGGCUUCUGGCAGGCAGCAGUAGCUCCCUGGAGUCUGCCCCAGCUGAAGAGAGAAGAAGACGAGGAGAACUGAGACGCAAUCCGGGAGAAGACUUCUGAGAGGCCUGAUUGUCCUCGGCCACUUGCAGAAUCUGACUAAGAAUGAAGCUUCUUCUCGGCUUCUUGGCCCUGCUCUUCUUCACUAUCACCCAGGCACUCCGGUGCAAGAAAUGCGAAUAUGAAAAUGCUGAAUACUGUCAACGUUAUGGAACAGAAUGUGAAGUUCAUGGUAGAUAUUCGACAUGUUACACAGCAUCAGCCUAUGAAGCAGAUGGAACAUUUACUGGAGUGAAGUAUGGAUGCGAUGAACGUGGAAAUGAAAUCAUAUGUCAAUCCGUUCAAAGGUUCAGUGGGCCUGCGGGCCGUAUAUAUGUCUACACUUGUUGCAAAACUGACAAAUGUAAUGGACAUCGUACACCUUUGCCUCCUCCUUGGUGUACCCAGCCUUCCUUGGGGAUGUGAGUUAACGGAGGAUCGGGAUGUGGCUCUCUCCACUCAAAGCUCCUCUGUCCUAGUCCCCUUGAAGGGAAAUCCAGAUAAUCUAUGGCUAUCCAUCACUUAUUUCACCCUCUUUGAGCCAAGAUGUGAUUUAAGGGUUUGAAUGUGGCUCCUUCAUCUGUGGAAAAUGUACAAGGAGAACCAAAAAUAAACCUACAUGCU